rnacentral:rRNA from 1 species
AUACCGCGUGUGUGAAGAAGGCCUUCGGGUUGUAAAGCACUUUAAGCAGGGAGAAAAAGUUAUAAGUUAAUACCUUAUAACCCUGAUGUUACCUGCAGAAUAAGCACCGGCUAAUUCCGUGCCAGCAGCCGCGGUAAUACGGAAGGUGCAAGCGUUAAUCGGAAUUACUGGGCGUAAAGCGCGCGUAGGUGGUUUGUUAAGUUGGAUGUGAAAGCCCUGGGCUCAACCUAGGAACUGCAUCCAAAACUAACUCACUAGAGUACGAUAGAGGGAGGUAGAAUUCAUAGUGUAGCGGUGGAAUGCGUAGAUAUUAUGAAGAAUACCAGUGGCGAAGGCGGCCUCCUGGAUCUGUACUGACACUGAGGUGCGAAAGCGUGGGUAGCGAACAGGAUUAGAUACCCUGGUAGUCCACGCCGUAAACGAUGACAACUAGCUGUUGGGAGACUAUGUCUUUCAGUGGCGCAGCUAACGCUUUAAGUUGUCCGCCUGGGGAGUACGGCCGCAAGGCUAAAACUCAAAUGAAUUGACGGGGACCCGCACAAGCGGUGGAGCAUGUGGUUUAAUUCGAUGCAACGCGAAAAACCUUACCUACUCUUGACAUACUUGGAGGCUCUUGUAAUGAGAGUGUGCCUUUUGGAACCAAGAUACAGGUGCUGCAUGGCUGUCGUCAGCUCGUGUCGUGAGAUGUUCCGUUAAGUCGGAUAACGAGCGCAACCCUUACCCUUAUUUGCCAGCGAUUCGGUCGGGAACUAUAAGGGGACUGCCGGUGAUAAACCGGAGGAAGGUGAGGACGACGUCAAGUCAUCAUGGCCCUUACGAGUAGGGCUACACACGUGCUACAAUGGGAGAUACAGACGGACGCUAAGCCGCGAGGUGGUGCUAAUCCUAAAAAGUCUUUCGUAGUCCGGAUUGGAGUCUGCAACUCGACUCCAUGAAGUCGGAA